rnacentral:rRNA from 1 species
GUUGAACGCUGGCGGCAUGCCUUACACAUGCAAGUCGAACGGCAGCACGGGUGCUUGCACCUGGUGGCGAGUGGCGAACGGGUGAGUAAUACAUCGGAACAUGUCCUGUAGUGGGGGAUAGCCCGGCGAAAGCCGGAUUAAUACCGCAUACGAUCUACGGAUGAAAGCGGGGGACCUGCGGGCCUCGCGCUAUAGGGUUGGCCGAUGGCUGAUUAGCUAGUUGGUGGGGUAAAGGCCUACCAAGGCGACGAUCAGUAGCUGGUCUGAGAGGACGACCAGCCACACUGGGACUGAGACACGGCCCAGACUCCUACGGGAGGCAGCAGUGGGGAAUUUUGGACAAUGGGCGAAAGCCUGAUCCAGCAAUGCCGCGUGUGUGAAGAAGGCCUUCGGGUUGUAAAGCACUUUUGUCCGGAAAGAAAUCCUUGGCUCUAAUACAGCCGGGGGAUGACGGUACCGGAAGAAUAAGCACCGGCUAACUACGUG